ensembl:lncRNA
GAUUUGCAAGUAACGAGCUCGCCAAGUGGUCUGGCUGUGAUCGGGGGAAAAUCACACACCCUCCUGGAAAUUGUCAAGAUCUUUGGAGACCAGCUGUAGUGUGAGAAGAGCAUAAAAUGUGCCAAUGAAAUGGAUGUUUUCUCACAUCCUGUGUUGUCAUAAUUUUGACCCUGGAAGCUGCCUUCACCACAUAUUUGUACCAAAGCUUCAGCAAAGGAAGGAAAUCUGACGUGCCUUAAAGGAAAUUACACAAUAUUAUGGAAGUCUAGUACUAAGUGCACCAUUUAUGACCCUGCAGGAAACCCCCCUAUUGUGUUGCAACACCCAGUCUGGCUUACAACAUGCAUGAAACAAAUGUAUACGAGCCUAUGUAGGUGGAGUCCUCACAGUUUGGUUCCUGGAACGGUGUGAUAAACCCCAUCAUGAAACAGAGCCAAAGGUCAACCAGGAAAAGCAACCUUGGGAAGCAAGAAUGCUUUGCUCUGAGGAAGUACAUCAUAGACACUCAGGAAAGAAACACCACCCCA